UCUUUUCUUGUUUCUUUUGUUAAUUUGUUUGAUUUGUUUUAUAAUUUUUUUUAGUUAGAUAACAAAUGGUAUUUGUGGAUGGUCCUUUAAGACUCACCACAUUUACUAUUAAAAAAAGGAAAAGAUUCUAUGAAUGAUUAAAUUGAUUAUGAUAAAAGUAUUUUGUAUAACUCUAGUUAGUUGUUUUAUGUAUAUUUUUACAAAUAUAUAUUUUUUCUAUAGUAUUUAAUUUUUUUGUUUAAUUUUUAUUUUGAAGUAUUUUUCUUACAUUUUUUUACUAUUUUGAUUUUUUUUUAGUUAUGACUAAACAAGAGAAAAAUUAUCUAUGGCAAAAGUUAAUUCAGACUUUUUUUCAAUCAACGACAGUAAAACCCUGAUAAAUUUAGAAGUAAACAGAUUUCAGAAAAGUCUUUGUCUUUGUGAUGAUCAUGGUGAUUGCGAUGAUGAUAUACGUGAUAAUGAUGAUCAUAUGUAAUUUAGAUGGUGAUCAUCAUAUCAUGAUGAAUAUUCUUUUUUAUUUUUGUAACUGAAUUCCAAUAUGUUCUGAAACAAUCUUUUAGUUAGUUUAUGUAAAUAGGACACAAAUAUGCAUCUAAAUUUAUCAAUUUAAAUUGAUGGACAAUGAUUAAUUAAUUAAUUUAAAUUCGAAAGCAAUGAGUUAGACAGCUGAUAGGAUGGAAACCCAUCCACUUCUAUGCGCUUUAAUUCUAAAAAAUGUGCUUUGAUUGAAGAAAAAUGAAAAUAUUUUGUUGUUGCCUAUUGAGAUUAUAUCAACUUAUUUGCGUGCUGAUCAGUUGCUGGAUGAAUUAAAGCUCUCAUAGUUCCCUAAAUCAGUAUUGUAUCAUCAGUUGCAUCUAAUGCUAAAAUUGAAGCACAUAAUGCUGUGAAAAUAAAAGCUUUAACCUCAGGAGCACCAGGAGAAGAGUUUAAACAUUAGCUGAAGAGAUAUUUUUUGCUUUUUGGGGAUCGAAAUGCGGACGAAAAGCUCGAGAGGAACUUUCUUUAUAUAAAAAGUUAUUUGCAUAAAUAACAAUUUGAACUUUUAAUAACAUUUUUUUAUUUUUUAUUUCAUUAUUUUUUAACUCACUUUUGGUUGGGAAUAAAUUUCGAAAAGACUUA